rnacentral:rRNA from 1 species
AUGGCAAAACAGGUUAGCCCAAGAUCAAAGUGCGAGGUCCCCAUGGACGUUGCAUCAUCCCACAGCAGUGGCACCGGCCCAAUCGUGCAUUAUGAAUUGCCAACUGCUGAUGCUCUAGAGGCUAAACUAGUGGUAGAAAGAGAUUCUGCUUCUGCACUUAGAGAUGAAGUUGACAUGUUGAGGAAGCAAACAGCACAAUCACAAGCAGUACUCAAGACAACCAUUAAAUAUUUGGUGGAUUUCAAAAUGAAGCAAGCUGAGACUGACCAGAUUGUUAAGGUCCUGAAGGAAAAAAGGAAACUAAAUUCCUACUUGGUAAAUCAUAGGUGA